rnacentral:rRNA from 1 species
UACGUAGGGUGCGAGCGUUAAUCGGAAUUACUGGGCGUAAAGUGUGCGCAGGCGGCCGAGCAAGUCGAGUGUGAAAGCCCCGGGCUUAACCUGGGAACUGCGCUCGAAACUACUUGGCUGGAGUGUGGCAGAGGGAGGUGGAAUUCCACGUGUAGCGGUGAAAUGCGUAGAGAUGUGGAGGAACACCGAUGGCGAAGGCAGCCUCCUGGGCCAACACUGACGCUGAGGUGCGAAAGCGUGGGGAGCAAACAGG